CACGUAGGGGACGAGCGUUGUCCGGAUUCAUUGGGCGUAAAGCGCGCGUAGGCGGCUCGGAAAGUCGGUCGUGAAAUGCCGGGGCUCAACCCCGGGACUGCGUCCGAUACUCCCGAGCUGGAGGCAGGUAGGGGGGAUCGGAAUUCCUGGUGUAGCGGUGAAAUGCGCAGAUAUCAGGAGGAACACCGGUGGCGAAGGCGGAUCUCUGGGCCUUGCCUGACGCUGAGGCGCGAAAGCUAGGGGAGCGAACAGG
rnacentral:rRNA from 1 species